rnacentral:rRNA from 1 species
GACGAACGCUGGCGGCGUGGAUUAGGCAUGCAAGUCGAACGGUAUCAUCCUUUCGGGGGUGAGAGAGUGGCGAACUGGUGAGUAACACGUAGGUUAUCUACCCUCAAGACGGGGACAACCCAGGGAAACUUGGGCUAAUACCGGAUGUGAGCAACUUUUAGUUGUUUGAAAGGUGGCGUAAGCUGUCGCUUGGGGAUGAGCCUGCGUCCUAUUAGUUAGUUGGUGAGGUAACGGCUCACCUAGGCAAUGAUAGGUAGGCGGCCUUAACGGGUGGUCGCCCACACUGGGAUUGAGAUACGGCCCAGACUCCUACGGGAGGCAGCAGUCGAGAAUAGUCUACAAUGGUCGGAAGACUGAUAGUGCGACGCCGCGUGAACGAUGAAUCCCUUCGGGGUGUAAAGUUCUUUUAUAUGUGAGCAGUGCUUCUUAUAUUAACAGUAUGGGGAAGAGAUAUUAGCAUAUGAAUAAGCAACGGCUAAACUCCGUGCCAGCAGCCGCGGU